rnacentral:rRNA from 1 species
AGAGCGAACGCUGGCGGCAGGCCUAACACAUGCAAGUCGAGCGCCCGUAGCAAUACGGGAGCGGCAGACGGGAUAGUAACACGUGGGAACGCGCCCUUCGGUUCGGAAUAACUCAGGGAAACUUGAGCUAAUACCGGAUACGCCCUUACGGGGAAAGAUUUAUUGCCGAAGGAACGGCCCGCGUCCGAUUAGCUAGUUGGUGAGGUAAUGGCUCACCAAGGCGACGAUCGGUAGCUGGUCUGAGAGGAUGACCAGCAUCACUGGGACUGAGACACGGCCCAGACUCCUACGGGAGGCAGCAGUGAGGAAUAUUGGACAAUGGGGGCAACCCUGAUCCAGCCAUGCCGCGUGAGUGAUGAAGGCCUUCGGGUUGUAAAACUCUUUAGAUGUGACGAUGAUGACGGUAACAUCAGAAAACGCUCCGGCUAACUUCGUGCCAGCAGCCGC